rnacentral:rRNA from 1 species
CCUACGGGGCGCAGCAGUGGGGAAUAUUGCACAAUGGGGGAAACCCUGAUGCAGCGACGCCGCGUGAGUGAAGAAGUAAUUCGUUAUGUAAAGCUCUAUCAGCAGGGAAGAAAAUGACGGUACCUGAGUAAGAAGCCCCGGCUAACUACGUGCCAGCAGCCGCGGUAAUACGUAGGGGGCAAGCGUUAUCCGGAUUUACUGGGUGGAAAGGGAGCGUAGACGGCAGUGCAAGUCUGGAGUGAAAGGCGGGGGCUCAACCCCCGGACUGCUCUGGAAACUGUACGGCUGGAGUGCAGGAGAGGUAAGUGGAAUUCCUAGUGUAGAGGUGAAAUGCGUAGAUAUUAGGAGGAACACCAGUGGCGAAGGCGGCUUACUGGACUGUAACUGACGUUGAGGCUCGAAAGCGUGGGGAGCAAACAGGAUUAGAUACCCGUGUAGUC